AUUUUAUCCUAUUAUAUUAAUGAAAAUUUGAAUAGCAACACUUUAGAUGACUGGCUGGUGAGAUAAUCUUAUUUUCCUUCAAGUGCUUGUCCUGAGCACAGGAGACAGCUGAUUCCACACAGUCUUGCUGGUUGCCAUUAAGAAUGGAAAUUUCCAAUUAAAGGUAUAUCGUCUUAAGGACCUUUCUGGCAAGCAUAAAAGAGAGGGUUUUAGUGGGAACUUGGUGACUGGUGGUUGCUACCAACACUUGCUACAGUGCCAGAGUCACUGUUCAUCCACAGAGCUGUGGCCACCAGGGGUGGAAUGUACUAACAGCAGCAAGUCCCAGUCCUGUUGUUUUAGGCAUCAAAGGUUCUGGCACGCCCUCAAUGGAAUCACGAUUAACUAUUUGUGCUGUACAGAAGCUGGUUUUGAGAGUGGAAGUGGAAGCACUGAAAAGCAAUGGAUUGCAAGCUCUGUAAACCAUCACAGGAAGAGAGGUUAGGAUUAAGCCUCACAGUCAGACCCAAUGAUCUCAUUGCUGCCAGCAUGAAUGCAAAAUACUUUGAGCGAAAACAAGGGGAUUGAUCUAAAAGGACACAGGGUCUACUACGACAGCAGCUGCCCUGUGCUUGUAUGGGAAAGAGAAUAUAAGAAAAAUGUGUCUGAAUCAGAAAACAUGAAAGCAGGACACUGGAAAAAACACAGACACAGUAAGAAGGGUGUGUAUCUAGCAUAUGAUUAAUGUAAUCUCUGUCAAUUGGAACUUUAACAUUUAG
rnacentral:lncRNA from 1 species